rnacentral:lncRNA from 1 species
CACAUCAUUCCAACCACCAUCCUAGAUUCUAGCCCAAAAGAGGUCCUAAUGCUAGAAAGAGAUGAGAACAAAUCAAUGUCGCUCCUAAUACUCUCAAGAUUUUGCACAUGACAAGCUUUCACAAAAAGACCUCACUCAACAAUUAAUGAUGGUUUGAAAGAAGGGAAGGGUUUAGGGUAUGGACUACCACUUGAGUUGUCAAAAAGAUUGGUAAAACGGUUUAUACAAGCUCAAGUGUGUGUAAAGCCAUGAUUUAGUACUCAAGAGACCAUAAGCAAGAAGCAUUAAGUUCAUUUUAGUCAAUUAAGAUCGGAGUUGGUUUCAAAGAGUAAGAUUCAAUGAGUCUUAAGAGGAGUUUUCAAGGCUCGAAGUCUACAAGAAAUUCAGAAGAAGCUCAAGCUACUUAUUAUGAUUUAAAAGGGUAUCAACAAUGAGUUCAUUGCAUGAGUCCUUUGU